rnacentral:lncRNA from 1 species
GCAAAUAUGAACUGUUGAGGAAUAUCUUUGGCCUGUAGUGCAAAGAUGAAUUAUGGAUGAAUAUCUUUGGGUCGUAGUGCAAAGAUGACCUGUUGUUGAAUAUCUUUGGCCUGUAGUGCAAAGAUGAACUGUUGAUGAAUAUCUUUGGCCCGUAGUGCAAAGAUAAAUUUAUUAGUAUGAUUAUGAACAGGAACUGUGAUUUGGUAUAACCAUUAUCUUUGAUGUUUCAGGUAAAGACAAGUGAUGAAAAUUAUCUUCGUCCUGAAUGAGAAAAGGAAUUUAGAACAACAAUUACGAUUAUGAGUUAUACAUGUGAUUGUGGACAGGAAUUGUUGAUUGAUGUUACAGGGAUAAAACAUUGUUGGUGGACUUUUAACAUGGAGAAGAU